rnacentral:rRNA from 1 species
UACGUAGGGUGCAAGCGUUGUCCGGAAUUAUUGGGCGUAAAGAGCUCGUAGGCGGUUUGUUGCGUCGGCUGUGAAAUCCCGAGGCUCAACCUCGGGUCUGCAGUCGAUACGAGCAAACUAGAGUGUUGCAGGGGAGACUGGAAUUCCUGGUGUAGCGGUGAAAUGCGCAGAUAUCAGGAGGAACACCGGUGGCGAAGGCGGGGUCUCUGGGGCAACAACUGACGCUGAGGAGCGAAAGCGUGGGGGAGCGAACAGG